rnacentral:lncRNA from 1 species
CUCUCCAAGGUUAACAAGUUUGCCCAUGGAUUACGAGCAGACUUUUGUCGAAUGGUCAAGCAAGAAACCACUUUGAAAGCCGCCAUCUGGGCAGCCAGGAAUGUUGAGACCCAGAUUAAGGAAACGGGUCUGGAGAGAGCUGAAUUUGGCGAGAAAAGGAAGCAUGAAGGAUCUUCAAAAUCCAACAAAGAAAGGAAAUUCUCAAAGACUGAUGAAGGAGGAGGAGGUGAAGCCAAGUGGUGUGAGAAGUGUAAAAAGAAGCACUUCAGGAAAUAUAGCGUGGAGUUGACUUGGUACAAAUGUGGAAAUACAGGGCAUUACACUGAGAGAUUAAGGAGAUGGAAAUCACUAGUAAUAAUGAAUGUAAGUUCUGUUUAUGCUUAUGUUUCUGUAUUGACGAUGACAUCCCAAAUGUUUUAAAAUGAAUAAAAAUACUUUUGUUUGGAAAUUCUUUGAUAAUGAAAUUAUCAUAUUUUUCUGGGAACAAAUUCCGCAACGUUUUUAUUAAAAGAGAUACUCUGAUUUUUAUAAAGCAUAAACAAAAUCGGUCUUUUUUGGCUGUGAAAUUGGGAUGUCACAGUUGGUACUAGAGCAUUAAUUUAAGUGAACUAGGAAUAUGGAUUUAUUUCUAGACUUAAACUUAGAAUGCUAAGCAAUGAUUGUGAGGAGUGUGUCUUAGGUAAUACACCUAAAUAGACACAAUCACUAGCUUAUUUAGGGAAAACGCCUAACAUGCUUUUAUGUGCUAAAUGAUUUAUGAUGCUAAAUGUAUGAUCGGAUCUAUGGUCUGUUGCCGACCAGAUCUUGAAAUUUUACGUGUACAGAUUUCUAAACGUUUAAUUAUGUUAUUAGAACUGGCAUGUAACUUUUCGGCGUAAUAAGAAGAUUUACCCGUCAAUCGUAAAUAAAAUCUUUCCUAUCUUAGUUCUCGUAAUUUCGCACCGAACAUCUGAUCUGGUGUAUAGAUCAAAAUGGCUAGAACCGGAAGUGGAGUCGGGAACGUGAAUGGAGAUAGGAAUCAAGAGCCCCUAGUGGCUGAACAAAUACCUGUUGUAGUAACCGCACCUGAGCCAAUCACGAUGGUCGGGGUACAAGCGAUGAUCCAAAUGAUGUUGGAUCGUCAAAUGGAGGAAACAAGGCGUUUACUUCAACAAAACCGAGAAGAACGUACGGUACCAAUUGAACAGCCCGAGCUGAAUGAUGGGCAGUCAGAAGGAGAAAACUACAGUGGGACCAUUGGUCAAGCCAACCCACCGAUAGUUAGGCGAAACUACUAGGAUGGAGCAAACGACGGACGUGGAUGCAAAUACAAGGAUUUCAUGGCAUCCAGACCACUGAGUCUAUCCGGAAGCCCGACGCCGGUGGAAGUUAUGGACUGGAUCUCCGAGAUGGCGACAAUGUUUGAGAGUUGCGAGUGUAGCAACAGACAGAAAACCGCUGUUGAAAUCUGGAGUACUGAGCUGGGCGAAGCUACUAGUUGAUUCUAUGCCUAAGGGAGAAGCUAGUAAGAAGUCUUUGGAGGAUUUUCUGGUGCAACUGAAGAUGCAAUACUUCUCUGAGCAGGAUCUUGUGGAGAUCAACAAUGGGUUCCAAAAUUUGAAGAUGGGAAGAAUGAGCGUUAUAGAAUAAACUGCAUGCUUUACGGAAAAGAUGAAGCCGGUUCCUUACCUAGUCCCAACCGAACUCUCCAAGGUUAACAAGUUUGCCCAUGGAUUACCAGCAGACUUUUGUCGAAUGGUCAAGCAAGCAACCACUUUGAAAGCCGCCAUCUGGGCAGCCCGGAAUGUUGAGACCCAGAUUAAGGAAAGGGGUCUGGAGAGAGCUGAAUUUGGCGAGAAAAGAAAGCAUGAAGGAUCUUCAAAAUCAAAAAAAGAAAGGAAAUUCUCAAAGACUGAUGAAGGAGAAGGAGGUGAAUCCAAGUGGUGUGAGAAGUGUAAAAAGAAGCACUUCAGGAAAUGUAGCGAGGAGGUGACUUGCUACAAAUGUGGAAAUACAGGGCAUUACACUGAGAGAUUAAGGAGAUGGAAAUCACUAGUAAUAAUGAAUGUAAGUUCUGUUUAUGCUUAUGUUUUUGUAUUGACGAUGACAUCCCAAAUGUUUUAAAAUGAAUAAAAAUACUUUUCUUUGGAAAUGCUUUGAUAAUGAAAUUAUCAUAUUUUUCUGGGAACAAAUUCCGCAACGUUUUUAUUAAAAGAGAUACUCUGAUUUUUAUAAAGCAUAAACAAAAUCGGUCUUUUCUGGCUGUGAAAAUGGGGAUGUCACAGUUGGUACCAGAGCAUUAGUUUAAGCGAACUAGGAAUAUGGAUUUAUUUCUAGACAUAAACUUAGAAUGCUAAGCAAUGAUUGUGAGGAGUGUGUCUUAGGUAAUACACCUAAAUAGACAUAAGCACUAGCCUAUUUAGGGAAAACGCCUAACAUGCUUUUAUGUGCUAAAUGAUUUAUGAUGCUAAAUGUAUGAUCGGAUCUAUGGCCUGUUGCCGACCGGAUCUGGAAAUUUUAUGUGUACAAAUUUCUAAACGUUUAAUUAUGCUAUUAGAACUGGCAUGUAACUUUCUGAUGUAAUAAGAAGAUUUACCCGUCAAUCGUAAAUAAAAUCUUUCCUAUCUUAAUUCUCGUCAUUUCGCACCGAACAUCUGAUCUGGUGUAUAGAUCAAAAUGGCUAGAACCCGAAGUGGAGUCGGGAACGCGAAUGGAGAUAGGAAUCAACAGCCCCUAGUGGCUGAACAAAUACCUGUUGUAGUAACCGCACCUGAGCCAAUCACGAUGGUCGGGGUACAAGCGAUGAUCCAAAUGAUGUUGGAUCGUCAAAUGGAGGAAACAAGGCGUUUACUUCAACAAAACCGAGAAGAACGUACGGUACCAAUUGAACAGCCCGAGCUGAAUGAUGGGCAGUCAGAAGGAGAAAACUACAGUGGGACCAUUGGUCAAGCCAACCCACCGAUAGUUAGGCGAAACUACUAGGAUGGAGCAAACGACGGACGUGGAUGCAAAUACAAGGAUUUCAUGGCAUCCAGACCACUGAGUCUAUCCGGAAGCCCGACGCCGGUGGAAGUUAUGGACUGGAUCUCCGAGAUGGCGACAAUGUUUGAGAGUUGCGAGUGUAGCAACAGACAGAAAACCGCUCUUGAAAUCUGGAGUACUGAGCUGGGGGAAGCUACUAGCUGAUUCUAUGCCUUAGGGAGAAGCUAGUAAGAAGUCUUUGGAGGAUUUUAUGGUGCAACUGAAGAUGCAAUACUGCUCUGAGCAGGAUCUUAAGGAGAUCAACAAUGGGUUCCAAAAUUUGAAGAAGGGAAGAAUGAGCGUUAUAGAAUACACUGCAAGCUUUACAGAAAAGAUGAAGCCGGUCCCUUACCUAGUCCCGACCGAACUCUCCAAGAUUAACAAGUUUGCCCAUGGAUUACCAGCAGACUUUUGUCGAAUGGUCAAGCAAGCAACAACUUUGAAAGCCGCCAUCUGGGCAGCCCGGAAUGUUGAGACCCAGAUUAAGGAAAGGGGUCUGGAGAGAGCUGAAUUUGGCGAGAAAAGAAAGCAUGAAGGAUCUUCAAAAUCAAAAAAAGAAAGGAAAUUCUCAAAGACUGAUGAAGGAGAAGGAGGUGAAUCCAAGUGGUGUGAGAAGUGUAAAAAGAAGCACUUCAGGAAAUGUAGCGAGGAGGUGACUUGCUACAAAUGUGGAAAUACAGGGCAUUACACUGAGAGAUUAAGGAGAUGGAAAUCACUAGUAAUAAUGAAUGUAAGUUCUGUUUAUGCUUAUGUUUUUGUAUUGACGAUGACAUCCCAAAUGUUUUAAAAUGAAUAAAAAUACUUUUCUUUGGAAAUGCUUUGAUAAUGAAAUUAUCAUAUUUUUCUGGGAACAAAUUCCGCAACGUUUUUAUUAAAAGAGAUACUCUGAUUUUUAUAAAGCAUAAACAAAAUCGGUCUUUUCUGGCUGUGAAAAUGGGGAUGUCACAGUUGGUACCAGAGCAUUAGUUUAAGCGAACUAGGAAUAUGGAUUUAUUUCUNUGCUAAUCAAUGAUUGUGAGGAGUGUGUCUUAGGUAAUACACCUAAAUAGACAUAAGCACUUGCUUAUUUAGGGAAAACGCCUAACACGCUUUUAUGUGCUAAAUGAUUUAUGAUGCUAAAUGUAUGAUCGGAUCUAUGGUCUGUUGCCGACCGGAUCUGGAAAUUUUAUGUGUACAAAUUUCUAAACGUUUAAUUAUGUUAUUAGAACUGGCAUGUAACUUUCCGACGUAAUAAGAAGAUUUACCCGUCAAUCGUAAACAAAAUCUUUCCUAUCUUAAUUCUCGUCAUUUCGCACCGAACAUCUGAUCUGGUGUAUAGAUCAAAAUGGCUAGAACCCGAAGUGGAGUCGGGAACGCGAAUGGAGAUAGGAAUCAACAGCCCCUAGUGGCUGAACAAAUACCUGUUGUAGUAACCGCACCUGAGCCANCAUGGUUGGAGUGCAAGCGAUGAUCCAGACGAUAUUGGAUCGUCAAAUGGAGGAAACAAGGCGUCUACUUCAACAGAACCGAGAAGAACUUGCGGUACCAAUUGAACAGCCCGAGCUGAAUGAUGGGUAGUCAGAAGGAGAAAACUACAGUGGGACCAUUGGUCAAGCCAACCCACCGAUAGUUAGGCGAAACUACUAGGAUGGAGCAAACGACAGACGUGGAUGCAAAUACAAGGAUUUCAUGGCAUCCAGACCACUGAGUCUAUCCAGAAGCCCGACGCCGGUGGAAGUUAUGGACUGGAUCUCCGAGAUGGCGACAAUGUUUGAGAGUUGCNAAGAGUUGCGGUGUAGCAACAGACAGAAAACCGCUCUUGAAAUCUGGAGUACUGAGCUGGGGGAAGCUACUAGUUGAUUCUAUGCCUAAGGGAGAAGCUAAUAAGAAGUCUUUGGAGGAUUUUCUGGUGCAACUGAAGAUGCAAUACUUCUCUGAGCAGGAUCUUGUGGAGAUCAACAAUGGGUUCCAAAAUUUGAAGAUGGGAAGAAUGAGCGUUAUAGAAUAAACUGCAUGCUUUACGGAAAAGAUGAAGCCGGUUCCUUACCUAGUCCCAACCGAACUCUCCAAGGUUAACAAGUUUGCCCAUGGAUUACCAGCAGACUUUUGUCGAAUGGGCAAGCAAGCAACCACUUUGAAAGCCGCCAUCUGGGCAGCCCGGAAUGUUGAGACCCAGAUUAAGGAAAGGGGUCUGGAGAGAGCUGAAUUUGGCGAGAAAAGAAAGCAUGAAGGAUCUUCAAAAUCAAAAAAAGAAAGGAAAUUCUCAAAGACUGAUGAAGGAGAAGGAGGUGAAUCCAAGUGGUGUGAGAAGUGUAAAAAGAAGCACUUCAGGAAAUGUAGCGAGGAGGUGACUUGCUACAAAUGUGGAAAUACAGGGCAUUACACUGAGAGAUUAAGGAGAUGGAAAUCACUAGUAAUAAUGAAUGUAAGUUCUGUUUAUGCUUAUGUUUUUGUAUUGACGAUGACAUCCCAAAUGUUUUAAAAUGAAUAAAAAUACUUUUCUUUGGAAAUGCUUUGAUAAUGAAAUUAUCAUAUUUUUCUGGGAACAAAUUCCGCAACGUUUUUAUUAAAAGAGAUACUCUGAUUUUUAUAAAGCAUAAACAAAAUCGGUCUUUUCUGGCUGUGAAAAUGGGGAUGUCACAGUUGGUACCAGAGCAUUAGUUUAAGCGAACUAGGAAUAUGGAUUUAUUUCUAGACAUAAACUUAGAAUGCUAAGCAAUGAUUGUGAGGAGUGUGUCUUAGGUAAUACACCUAAAUAGACAUAAGCACUAGCCUAUUUAGGGAAAACGCCUAACAUGCUUUUAUGUGCUAAAUGAUUUAUGAUGCUAAAUGUAUGAUCGGAUCUAUGGCCUGUUGCCGACCGGAUCUGGAAAUUUUAUGUGUACAAAUUUCUAAACGUUUAAUUAUGUUAUUAGAACUGGCAUGUAACUUUCCGACGUAAUAAGAAGAUUUACCCGUCAAUCGUAAACAAAAUCUUUCCUAUCUUAAUUCUCGUCAUUUCGCACCGAACAUCUGAUCUGGUGUAUAGAUCAAAAUGGCUAGAACCCGAAGUGGAGUCGGGAACGCGAAUGGAGAUAGGAAUCAACAGCCCCUAGUGGCUGAACAAAUACCUGUUGUAGUAACCGCACCUGAGCCAAUCACGAUGGUCGGGGUACAAGCGAUGAUCCAAAUGAUGUUGGAUCGUCAAAUGGAGGAAACAAGGCGUUUACUUCAACAAAACCGAGAAGAACGUACGGUACCAAUUGAACAGCCCGAGCUGAAUGAUGGGCAGUCAGAAGGAGAAAACUACAGUGGGACCAUUGGUCAAGCCAACCCACCGAUAGUUAGGCGAAACUACUAGGAUGGAGCAAACGACGGACGUGGAUGCAAAUACAAGGAUUUCAUGGCAUCCAGACCACUGAGUCUAUCCGGAAGCCCGACGCCGGUGGAAGUUAUGGACUGGAUCUCCGAGAUGGCGACAAUGUUUGAGAGUUGCGAGUGUAGCAACAGACAGAAAACCGCUGUUGAAAUCUGGAGUACUGAGCUGGGCGAAGCUACUAGUUGAUUCUAUGCCUAAGGGAGAAGCUAGUAAGAAGUCUUUGGAGGAUUUUCUGGUGCAACUGAAGAUGCAAUACUUCUCUGAGCAGGAUCUUGUGGAGAUCAACAAUGGGUUCCAAAAUUUGAAGAUGGGAAGAAUGAGCGUUAUAGAAUAAACUGCAUGCUUUACGGAAAAGAUGAAGCCGGUUCCUUACCUAGUCCCAACCGAACUCUCCAAGGUUAACAAGUUUGCCCAUGGAUUACCAGCAGACUUUUGUCGAAUGGGCAAGCAAGCAACCACUUUGAAAGCCGCCAUCUGGGCAGCCCGGAAUGUUGAGACCCAGAUUAAGGAAAGGGGUCUGGAGAGAGCUGAAUUUGGCGAGAAAAGAAAGCAUGAAGGAUCUUCAAAAUCAAAAAAAGAAAGGAAAUUCUCAAAGACUGAUGAAGGAGAAGGAGGUGAAUCCAAGUGGUGUGAGAAGUGUAAAAAGAAGCACUUCAGGAAAUGUAGCGAGGAGGUGACUUGCUACAAAUGUGGAAAUACAGGGCAUUACACUGAGAGAUUAAGGAGAUGGAAAUCACUAGUAAUA